rnacentral:rRNA from 1 species
CCUACGGGAGGCAGCAGUGGGGAAUAUUGCACAAUGGGCGCAAGCCUGAUGCAGCCAUGCCGCGUGUGUGAAGAAGGCCUUAGGGUUGUAAAGCACUUUCAGCGAGGAGGAAGGCAUCAUACUUAAUACGUGUGGUGAUUGACGUUACCCGCAGAAGAAGCACCGGCUAACUCCGUGCCAGCAGCCGCGGUAAU